ensembl:misc_RNA Y_RNA Y RNA
GGCACUGGUCUGAGUCCAGUGGUGCUAACAAUGAAUUGAUCUUAACCAGUUACAGAUUUCUUUGUUCCUUCUCUACUCCCCCACUGCUUGACUUGACUAGCCUUUA